CAAUGGCUCAGAUUGAAUUUAAAUAAACAUUUAAAACACGCGCCAGUUCAAGGAGACACCCCGAUCACCACCUCAGCUUCUCACUGCCAUGGACCACCACGCCGGGAAUCGCUUCUGGUGGAGGUGUCCACCAGAAAACUAAAACAAACACAACACCAUGACCGUCUUGGACCCCCCAUCAUGAAUCUGCCACUGAUUUUCCUUAAUUUUAUGUCUAAGGUCCAAACCGAUACCAAAACUCCAAGAACCAUUAAAUUUUAAAUACAAGGAUUCAAAGCCCCCGGGGUUGGGGCUUUGACUCCCUUCCUCAAGCUCUACAUCUCGGUAUCAAUGAUUGAAGAAAAGAAGGAUGAAAAAGAAACUCAUCGUGCCAGAGAUUUCGAAGGUGACGACGACGAAUUCAGGUGAAUACUCAAAUUUUCCCCUCUUUAUCGUACUCGUCCAACUCUCUUCGUUCCUUUGUGCUUCUUUGAUUUUGUUUUGAAUGCGAGUGUGAAUCAAGUGAUGUGAGGUUCUGAUGUUGAGGGGAGUGAUGAGAAUGUGAGGGCUUGAUGAUGCUUCUCUGGUUCGGAAUGAUGAAGGUGGUUCUUCUGUGAGGGUGAAUGAUGAAUAGUGAUUACAGAGCUUUUGUGAAUGUGAAAAGUUGAUUCGAAACUAGAAGAUGAUUCUGUUAUGGUGGUGAAUGAUUGGAGUGUAUUUCGAGAGGAUGAGGGUGAAUGAAUGUGAAAUGAUUGAGAAGUGGUUAAGAAUGACUGUGUAAUGAUUGGGUGAAGGAUGAAAGAAUGAUUGGCCAGUUCUGUAAUGAUUGGAUGUUAUUAUUUAUAGGUCGGUUAUAGCAUAGGGAUUGGGAAAGUGCAGUUAGGAUUCAGUUGGAAUUUUGAGGUUGAGUUGUAACUGACUUUGUGGUUCCUAAUGAAGGUAGUUGGUAUUGAAAUAUUAGUUAGGAUUGGACUGGUACAAUUGGACUUAGUUAGUCAUGAGCUGGAACUAGCUUUACUGAAAUGAUUCAAUUGGGUGAGAUCUAUUAAAUGGUCCUUUGAUUCUGGAACUGAUAUGUUAGCUCAGUUCAAUGUCCAUUAUAUAGAGACAAUGUUCAAUUAAGUUCAGUUAAUUGGUGAGGUAAGUUGUUGAGAGUUAGAUGUUAACUCGGUGGCUGUUAGAGCUUGAGAGAAAUAAAUUUGGUUGGGUGCUUAUGUGAUGAUUGCUGCUCGAUUUUGAAUGCCUUUCCAUUGCUUUUUCUCGAUUGUUAUUGAUGUUUUAAUAUUUUAUUUUCAUUAGUUGUAGGCUUGUUGGAUUAUGGAUUAUGCAGGAUUUGAUGUUGACCAUGCAGUAUGACAUUUGGCUGCAGCAGAAUUGUGGUUGUUACAGGUGUUUGUAUUGGCAUUGCAGCAUGACAUGACUCACCUUGCAAUUGUUCCCGAGUUUCUGCAGUAGGUUUUGAUGUGGAUCAUGAUGCCAGGUAUGGUUCAAUUGGUUUUGGUCAAGGUUUUAUUGGAAUCCUAAUGCAAGUUUGAUGCAUCUGGUUGCGUUGUGCCUUGCAUGUUGUUAUGGAUUUUGAUGUACAUGUAUGAUCACAUGGACUGGCUCGAGCAUGCAUUGCAAUAGAUGUUUUGCAGGUCUAUUCAUUUGCCUUAAUCCUGACUCUGCAGCUUAGCAUUUGCAGGGUUCUUGGCUUGGUGUUCUUCAGUUGUGGCUAUGGUCUGAAGUGGCAGGUAUGAUGUGCCUGGGUGAUGUUUGCUUCUGGUUUGGCAUGCUUUUGUUGCAGGAUUUUUGCAAGGUGAAGUGCUUGGUCCAAUGCAGAAUGGUAUUGGCCUAUGGUGUAACAUGACCAUGUGGGUGCUGCAAGUUUUCAUCUUGGUCCUGUUUAUUUUAUGAAGUGAUCCUGACCUAGGAUUCCGUUGCAUCUAGGGGUUCAUCCAUGUCUUUAGCAAUGGUUAUGCACAUGAAAUGGUUGGACAGGGCAACAUGACAUCCAAAUUGGAUUUUUGAAGCAUUAUGUCUAAAUGGCAAGCCAAAGGACCAUGGUGGAUCUUGAAUAAUUAGGAAAGAAGUUUAGGGUUUUAGGAUGGGGAAUUUAGGGUUUUAGGGGCUUAGGGUGACUUUGGUCAAAGUUGACCAAAAAGUCAAUUGUUGACCAAAGUCAACACUUGGUCAAAUAUCAAUUUUGUUGUAUUUUCAUGUAUAGACAUUUAUGAUUAUGAAAUGAAUGGCAUUGGUAUAUUUUUGAAUGAAA